rnacentral:sRNA from 1 species
GGCGGCCGAGUAAGAGUGAGGAUAAGGCAUGUAGCAUUCCAUGGAAGGGAAGGGAAGCAAAGCAUGGAUUUGCGGCGAUGAUCGACGGACGCACCAAGGCGCUCUUCAGGGUCAUCCAACUUCUCCUUGAUGGCUGGUACAAAUUUUGACAGGUGAACAUAGGCCGCACCACCUCCAGCUCCUACCUUUAUAACCGCAACUCCGCCAGAAAGCUUUGCGAUUCUCUCAGCCAACUUCUCAGAGUCAUAUGCUGAGUCUGUCUGAGAAAGCUCUCUCUUCAGCUGUGCAAUUCUUGCCUGGAUCUCAUCUUUGGUGGCAACAUCUGCUAUAAUGGUAGUGGAUGACUGGGAGAUUGUCACUUUCCGGGCUAUGCCAAGUUGCUCCACGGUUGUACUCUCCACCAGUAAACCAAGAUCUUUGGCUUGAAAUUCAGCACCUGAAACAAAAGACACCGCAUUAAAAAACAGUAAAUCAGACAGGCAAUAGAGAUAGAGCACACCACAGGAUGAAACAAGCUGUAGGCUUUUUGGAAAAAGAAAGAUAUGUUCUCAAAGUUCUAUGUUCAGGUAACUCAGUUCUGUCUCCGGACUUUACCAUACUUACUGGCUCCAACCACUUUAACUAAUACAAAAUCAGGUGGUGGCAAUUAGUAGAGUCUUUGUUAGCGCGUCACUUUUGCUAGAUGGCAAAGAAAUGCAUUAAUGUUGCCUAUAUUGCAGUAGAAUGACUUGUGUACAAAGCCAAUAAACCAGAUGAUAAAUAUUUGGAUUAUGCAAUGCAGGUUUAUGUCAU